rnacentral:lncRNA from 1 species
AGUCUGUGGAGGAGACCAGUGGAGAAGGUCCAGAAGUGGAAAUGGAGUCCUGGCAGAAGCGAUACGAUUCGCUCCAAAAGAUUGUGGAGAAGCAGCAGCAGAAGAUGGAUCAGUUGCGCUCACAAGUACAGAUUGAAGACAGCUCAGGUGUGCCUUGGAGGUUUCCUGGAGGUAACAGCAGAAGAGCAGCUUGAAGAAAGGAAAAGAGAAAGCCUAGAGCAGGAAGUGGCUCAAGAAGAAGGAACAAGCCAGGCCCUGAGAGAGGAGGCCCAGCGAAGGGAUUCAGCCCUGCAGCAGCUGCGCACAGCCGUGAAGGAGCUUUCAGUGCAAAACCAGGACUUGAUUGAGAAGAAUCUGACACUCCAGGAACACCUGCGCCAGGCCCAACCAGGGUCUCCACCUUCACCAGACACGGCCCAGCUGGCACUUGAGCUGCACCAGGAGUUGGCCAGUUGCCUUCAAGAUCUGCAGGCUGUCUGUAGCAUUGUGACCCAGAGGGCCCAGGGCCAUGACCCCAAUCUCUCCCUGCUCCUGGGCAUUCACU